GUACACGCUGUGACUAGCAUAUCAAUAAGCGGAGGAAAAGAAACUAACAAGGAUUCCCCUAGUAACGGCGAGUGAAGCGGGAAGAGCUCAAAUUUGAAAUCUUAAAGGGUUUCCCUUUACGAAUUGUAGUUUAAAGAAGUGUUUUCUGUUGAGGUUUUGGUAAAAGUUCUUUGGAAUAGGACAUCAUAGAGGGUGAGAAUCCCGUAUUUGACCUUUACUUUCAACUUUGUGAUACACUUUCAAAGAGUCGGAUUGUUUGGGAAUGCAGUCCAAAAUGGGUGGUAAAUUUCAUCUAAAGCUAAAUAUUGGCGAGAGACCGAUAGCGAACAAGUACCGUGAGGGAAAGAUGAAAAGAACUUUGAAAAGAGAGUUAAACAGUACGUGAAAUUGUCAAAAGGGAAGCGUUUGACACCAGUGUUGUUUUUCUGAAAAUCAAUUAAAGAACUGUUUAUGCUAAGUUGUUUAGACUUUAUCAGCUAUCUGUUUAGUUUUGAGCUUUUCUUUAAUGCACUUUUCAGUUAACAAGUCAGCAUCAAUUUCUUUUGCUGUAAAAAAGCUUGAGGAAGGUGGCUUGAGAUUCGUCUUAAGUGUUUAUAGCCUCUUGCCUAUGCAGUCGGAGAGAUUGAGGUCUGCAGCGUAGAUCCUUCGGGGCUGAAUGCAUUUGUGCUAAGUUAUAGCAUUUUAUAGACAACUUGUUGACUAUGAUUUGUCUUGUAGCUUACUCGCUUAUGUUAUUUUACCUACGCUUAGGAUGUUGACUGAUAUGUAGUCGUA
rnacentral:rRNA from 1 species